UUUUGAUCACUGCAUACAGAUAGGCUUUGGUUUUGCAGAAGUGAAUCGGCAUUUCAAAGCCCAACCAGCUAGGAUAAAGCCUUCAGUGAGCAAGUUCCCUAACAGCUCAACUGCUUGGGAGUCCCUGGGAGUCCACUCUGGAAAGAGGCAGAUCAGCUGGGCUUCUCCAACUUCCUGCCAUCCUGGAUUCAACCAAGAGGACCUGGGGCAGCGUGCUCUACAUGCAGUUCCUGACCCUCCCUGUAGUGCCUGCGACAACCUUCCGGUUCGCCCCCAGCCUGCUGCACCAGCCUGUGAGCUCUCUGGGACAAGGAAUAGACUUUUUCCAUCAUCUCUUCACUGCUCCAUGGAACAGGUGCUUCCCAUCAUCUGUUGGGUAAACAAGUGAACCUCUGGAUGAUCAGAUGAAGACGAUAAACAAGAC
rnacentral:lncRNA from 1 species